rnacentral:lncRNA from 1 species
CCUAGGGGGAUCCAGCUCAUAGUUCCGGGUAGAAGUACUUUUCGCCCAGGCUGUUUUUUGUAGCUUAACCUAGGUAGAACCUUUUUGCCUAGGGGGAUCCAGCUCAUAGUUUCCGGGUAGAAGUACUAUUCGCCCAGGAUUGGUUUUUGUAGCUUAACCCAGGUAGAACCUUUUUCGCCUAGGGGAAUGCAACUCAUAGUUCCAGGUAGAAGUACUAUUCGCCCAAGAUUGGUUUUUGUAGCUUAACCCAGGUAGAACCUUUUCGCCUAGGGGGAUCCAGCUCAUAGUUCCGGAUAGAAGUACUUUUCGCCCAGGCUGUCUUAGGUAGCUUAACCCAGGUAGAACA